GUUGAGCUUUGCUACUUGGAGUCUUCACUUAGCAUCUCAGAGGAGCUGGCUGUGGUUGUAGUGGGGCCUCUCAUGCUGAACACAGCCAUAUUUCUUUUGGUUCUGAUCAGAUGGGGCUGUCGGCUGCUGUUUGCCUCCUGCCCUGACGUCUUGUCAAAGUUAAUCAUUGCCAUGGGACUAUGGACGGUUCUAGACCCCCUGAUGGUGUUGAUAGUGGAUAUUUUCCUGGGGCGACUUACACGUAACGGCGAGGCCCCUAUAGCGGAUGCAGCCAAGCUCUACUGGGUGUUUGUAAGAACACAACAAUCACAAAGUCUUGCUGUGAUGAUCACCACACUACUUUACAUCUUCCUGUUCAUCAUUUCUUCCUUGAUUUUAUAUAUGUAUUGUCUCAGAGCUAUGAUACAGAUGGAAAGUGGUUAGAAAAAGGUAUCUUAAAAAGAAUGACUUUAAAUAUGAAUGUGGCACCAGUUUCCACACAGAGAUGAAAAUGCUGCAUGGAGGGGAUUUGUAGGACUACCUAGGGAAAGAAGAAGGAAUGAACAGACACUUGGAGGUUCGUGGUGGGGCGCAGAGGGAGGGAACAUAGGAUAGUUAUUAUGACCGGAGGAGGAGAACUCGCUUCUCCAAUAGACUGAGCGUUCUUGGAUGCGCCCCUUAGGUCACUAACAGAGCUGUAGUAAAAUUGCCUAGCUCUCCAGGGGAUGUGUGCUGUGUAAGCCCGGCUUGGUUUAUAUUUUGACAUGCUGUAAAUACUCUGUCUCAUCUUUUCGGGGCACUCG
rnacentral:lncRNA from 1 species